GAACUUAAGCAUAUCAAUAAGCGGAGGAAAAGAAACUAACAAGGAUUCCCCUAGUAACUGCGAGUGAAGCGGGAAAAGCUCAAAUUUAAAAUCUGGUGGUCCCGAGUUGGCUGCCCGAGUUGUAAUCUAGAGAAGUGCUUUCCGCGCUGGACCGUGUACAAGUCUCUUGGAACGGAGCGUCGUAGAGGGUGACAAUCCCGUCUUUGACACGGACUGCCAGGGCUUAUGUGAUGCGCUCUCGAAGAGUCGAGUUGUUUGGGAAUGCAGCUCAAAAUGGGUGGUAAAUUCCAUCUAAAGCUAAAUAUGGGCGAGAGACCGAUAGCGAACAAGUACCGUGAGGGAAAGAUGAAAAGAGCUUUGAAAAGAGAGUUAAACAGUACGUGAAAUUGUUGAAAGGGAAACGAUUCAAGUCAGUCGCGUUGGCCGGUAAUCAACCCUUGCGAAGGCGGGGGCUUACUUUCCGUCUGACGGGUCAGCAUCAAUUUUGACCGUCAGAUAAAGGUUUGGGGAACGUGGCAUCUUCGGAUGUGUUAUAGCCCCUUGUCAGAUGUGACGGUUGGGAUUGAGGAACUUGGCACGCCCGCAAAGGGUCGGGGCUUUUUGCCCACGUAACGUGCUUUGGAUGCUGGCAUAAUGGCUUGAACCGACCCGUCUUGAAACACGGACCAAGGAGUCUAACAUGCCUGCGAGUGUUUGGGUGGCAAACUCGAGCGCGAAGUGAAAGUGAAACUUGUCGAGAUCUCUGUCGUGGGGAGCACCGACGCCCGGACCUGACCUUUUGUGAAGGAUCCGCGGUUGAGCAUGCAUGUUGGGACCCGAAA
rnacentral:rRNA from 1 species